rnacentral:piRNA from 1 species
ACUCAAUGUGAACGGAAAAGACUU